rnacentral:misc_RNA from 1 species
AACUGAUACUACCUGCGGGAACCUGCGGAAGGAUCAUUACCACGCGAUCCAAAAAAACGCUCACUCAAAACAACCUUUUAAAGCUGGGGGGCCACGCGUCUCGCACGCGCGCCCCCCUUGCUUUUGUAUUACACCCCCUUUAUUUCCACACUCCUACCAUGAGGACACCGAAUUUCACUUCGGCAAAGCCCUGGGGCGUGCAGGUCACCAACUCUUUUGUGUUGUGGGCCACGACACCCU